rnacentral:rRNA from 1 species
GUCCACGCCAUAAACGAUGAAUACUAGCCGCUUGGCGCAUAAAAGCGCUGGGUGGCGUAGCUAACGCGAUAAGUAUUCCGCCUGGGGAGUACGGCCGCAAGGUUAAAACUCAAAGGAAUUGACGGGGGCCCGCACAAGCGGUGGAGCAUGUGGUUUAAUUCGAUGCAACGCGAAGAACCUUACCUACUCUUGACAUCCUUGGAAUCUCGCAGAGAUGUGAGAGUGCCGAAAGGAACCAAGUGACAGGUGCUGCAUGGCUGUCGU